GAUGAACGCUGGCGGCGUGCCUAAUACAUGCAAGUCGAGCGAACGGACGAGAAGCUUGCUUUUCUGAUGUUAGCGGCGGACGGGUGAGUAACACGUGGAUAACCUACCUAUAAGACUGGGAUAACUUCGGGAAACCGGAGCUAAUACCGGAUAAUAUUUUUAACCGCAUGGUUCAAAAGUGAAAGACGGUCUUGCUGUCACUUAUAGAUGGAUCCGCGCUGCAUUAGCUAGUUGGUAAGGUAACGGCUUACCAAGGCAACGAUGCAUAGCCGACCUGAGAGGGUGAUCGGCCACAUUGGAACUGAGACACGGUCCAGACUCCUACGGGAGGCAGCAGUAGGGAAUCUUCCGCAAUGGGCGAAAGCCUGACGGAGCAACGCCGCGUGAGUGAUGAAGGUCUUCGGAUCGUAAAACUCUGUUAUUAGGGAAGAACAUAUGUGUAAGUAACUGUGCACAUCUUGACGGUACCUAAUCAGAAAGCCACGGCUAACUACGUG
rnacentral:rRNA from 1 species